GCUGGGCAUGGUGGUGCAUGCCUGUAGUCCCAGCUACUUGGGAGGCUGAGGUGGGAGGAUCGCUUGAGCCUGGGAGGCAGAGGUUGCAGUGAGUCAAGAUCGUGCCAUUGCACUCCAGCCUGGGUGACAGAGUGAGAUCCUAUCUCAA
ensembl:misc_RNA Metazoa_SRP Metazoan signal recognition particle RNA